rnacentral:sRNA from 1 species
GAAGAGCGUGUACGCGAGCCAGUCUCCAG